GACGAACGCUGGCGGCGUGCCUAAUACAUGCAAGUAGAACGCUGAAGGAGGAGCUUGCUUCUCUGGAUGAGUUGCGAACGGGUGAGUAACGCGUAGGUAACCUGCCUGGUAGCGGGGGAUAACUAUUGGAAACGAUAGCUAAUACCGCAUAAGAGUAGAUGUUGCAUGACAUUUGCUUAAAAGGUGCAAUUGCAUCACUACCAGAUGGACCUGCGUUGUAUUAGCUAGUUGGUGGGGUAACGGCUUACCAAGGCGACGAUACAUAGCCGACCUGAGAGGGUGAUCGGCCACACUGGGACUGAGACACGGCCCAGACUCCUACGGGAGGCAGCAGUAGGGAAUCUUCGGCAAUAGACGGAAGUCUGACCGAGCAACGCCGCGUGAGUGAAGAAGGUUUUCGGAUCGUAAAGCUCUGUUGUAAGAGAAGAACGAGUGUGAGAGUGGAAAGUUCACACUGUGACGGUAUCUUACCAGAAAGGGACGGCUAACUACGUG
rnacentral:rRNA from 1 species